rnacentral:rRNA from 1 species
GACAGAGGGGGCAAGCGUUGCUCGGAAUUACUGGGCGUAAAGGGCGCGUAGGCGGGAUGGCAGGUCGGUCGUGAAAUCCCUCGGCUCAACCGAGGAACGUCGAUCGAUACUGCUGUUCUUGAGGAUUGCAGAGGAGACUGAAAUUCCCGGUGUAGCGGUGAAAUGUGUAGAGAUCGGGAGGAACACCGGUGGCGAAGGCGGCUCACUGGGGCUUUUCUGACGCUGAGGAACGAAAGCCAGGGGAGCGAACGGG